AAGCGGAGGAAAAGAAACUAACAAGGAUUCCCCUAGUAGCGGCGAGCGAAGCGGGAAGAGCUCAAAUUUAUAAUCUGGCACCUUCGGUGUCCGAGUUGUAAUCUCUAGAAAUGUUUUCCGCGUUGGACCGCACACAAGUCUGUUGGAAUACAGCGGCAUAGUGGUGAGACCCCCGUAUAUGGUGCGGACGCCCAGCGCUUUGUGAUACAUUUUCGAAGAGUCGAGUUGUUUGGGAAUGCAGCUCAAAUUGGGUGGUAAAUUCCAUCUAAAGCUAAAUAUUGGCGAGAGACCGAUAGCGAACAAGUACCGUGAGGGAAAGAUGAAAAGCACUUUGGAAAGAGAGUUAACAGUACGUGAAAUUGUUGGAAGGGAAACGCUUGAAGUCAGACUUGCUUGCCGAGCAAUCGGUUUGCAGGCCAGCAUCAGUUUUCCGGGAUGGAUAAUGGUAGAGAGAAGGUAGCAGUUUCGGCUGUGUUAUAGCUCUCUGCUGG
rnacentral:rRNA from 1 species